CAACAGAGGCAGCAGCCACGACAUCAACAAUAGGCUCAACAAGAACACCAAUAACCAAUGAAAAUGCAAGUACAAACGCAACAAUUAUAAAAACAACAACAACAACAAGACCAACGACGACAAAAGGAACAACAUCUUUGAAAGACGGCUGUCAAACAUCGCUGACUCUGGCGAACGGAAACGUAACAUACAAUGGGACAGUCACGGGAUCAAAGGCGACCUUUAACUGUUUCGAAGGGUAUGACCUGGUUGCUUCGAAUCCGGACACAACUUGUCUUUCAAAUAAAACCUGGGCCGGGUUCGUAGCCAAAUGUGAGCCUGUAGUUUGCGAUCAGUAUCUCAUAGACCCUCUUCCAUAUCCUUUAAAACUAAACCUAACCAAUACAACCUAUGGAUCGAUCGGUCAUCUUUAUUGCCUGAAUGGAUUAUAUGUCAAUGGUGAUAGCACAAUUAUUUGCCAGAGCAAUGGAACGUGGUCUAGUCCAAAAGCAUCUUGCUCCGGAACAACAUACUCAACAACUGUACGACCAGCAACAACAGCAGUGACUACAACAACACCACCACCACCAACAUCUACUACAAAAGAGCCAACAACAACAAUUUCAUUGCCAACAACACC